rnacentral:rRNA from 1 species
AUUGAACGCUGGCGGCAUGCCUUACACAUGCAAGUCGAACGGUAACAGGUCUUCGGAUGCUGACGAGUGGCGAACGGGUGAGUAAUACAUCGGAACGUGCCUAGUAGUGGGGGAUAACUACUCGAAAGAGUGGCUAAUACCGCAUGAGAUCUACGGAUGAAAGCAGGGGAUCGCAAGACCUUGUGCUAUCAGAGCGGCCGAUGGCAGAUUAGGUAGUUGGUGGGAUAAAAGCUUACCAAGCCGACGAUCUGUAGCUGGUCUGAGAGGACGAUCAGCCACACUGGGACUGAGAAACGGCCCAGACUCCUACGGGAGGCAGCAGUGGGGAAUUUUGGACAAUGGGCGCAAGCCUGAUCCAGCAAUGCCGCGUGCAGGAUGAAGGCCUUCGGGUUGUAAACUGCUUUUGUACGGAACGAAAAGCCCCGGGUUAAUACCCUGGGGUCAUGACGGUACCGUAAGAAUAAGCACCGGCUAACUACGUGCCAGCCGCCGCCGUAA